rnacentral:rRNA from 1 species
AAAAAAGGUAAGCUACUAAGAGCGAAUGGUGGAUGCCUUGACUGGUAAAGGCGAUGAAGGACGUACUAGACUGCGAUAAGCUACGGGGAGCUGUCAAGAAGCUUUGAUCCGUAGAUUUCCGAAUGGGGCAACCCAAUGUAUAGAGAUAUACAUUACCUAUAUAGGAGCGAACGAGGGGAAUUGAAACAUCUUAGUACCCUCAGGAAAAGAAAUCAAUAGAGAUUGCGUCAGUAGCGGCGAGCGAAAGCGCAAGAGGGCAAACCCAGUGCUUGCACUGGGGGUUGUAGGACUGCAAUGUGCAAGAGGUAAGUUUAGCAGAACAUUCUGGAAAGUAUAACCAUAGAGGGUGAUAGUCCCGUAUGCGAAAAACAAACCUUAGCUAGCAGUAUCCUGAGUAGGGCGGGACACGAGGAAUCCUGUCUGAAUCCGGGUCGACCACGAUCCAACCCUAAAUACUAAUACCAGAUCGAUAGUGCACAAGUACCGUGAGGGAAAGGUGAAAAGAACUGAGGUGAUCAGAGUGAAAUAGAACCUGAAACCAUUUGCUUACAAUCAUUCAGAGCCCUAUGUAGCAAUACAGGGUGAUGGACUGCCUUUUGCAUAAUGAGCCUGCGAGUUGUGGUGUCUGGCAAGGUUAAGCAAACGCGAAGCCGUAGCGAAAGCGAGUCUGAAUAGGGCGCUUAGUCAGAUGCUGCAGACCCGAAACGAAGUGAUCUAUCCAUGAGCAAGUUGAAGCUAGUGUAAGAACUAGUGGAGGACUGAACCCAUAGGCGUUGAAAAGCCCCGGGAUGACUUGUGGAUAGGGGUGAAAGGCCAAUCAAACUUCGUGAUAGCUGGUUCUCUCCGAAAUAUAUUUAGGUAUAGCGUUGUGUCGUAAUAUAAGGGGGUAGAGCACUGAAUGGGCUAGGGCAUACACCAAUGUACCAAACCCUAUCAAACUCCGAAUACCUUAUAUGUAAUCACAGCAGUCAGGCGGCGAGUGAUAAAAUCCGUCGUCAAGAGGGAAACAACCCAGACUACCAGCUAAGGUCCCUAAAUCUUACUUAAGUGGAAAACGAUGUGAAGUUACUUAAACAACCAGGAGGUUGGCUUAGAAGCAGCCAUCCUUUAAAGAAAGCGUAAUAGCUCACUGGUCUAGUGAUUUUGCGCGGAAAAUAUAACGGGGCUAAAGUAAGUACCGAAGCUGUAGACUUAGUUUACUAAGUGGUAGGAGAGCGUUCUAUUUGCGUCGAAGGUAUACCGGUAAGGAGUGCUG